GCCCGGCUAGCUCAAUCGGUAGAGCGUGAGACUCUUAACUUCCCAAAGACUUGUAAAGUUCAAGGUAGAACGGAUAUCUCAAGGUUGUGGGUUCGACCCCCACGUCGGGCU